CCACGGCGCGGCUUUACACGUUCCCAUGAUGCCUGAGGAAGAAGCAGAAGAAGGCGGCGAAGGCUAACCGUGCAAGUGGGAAAGUGACAAGAUCCAAAAUCUCACCUCACCAUUUAUAUAGUGUUGCCUGAUCCUUGUGGACUUGUGGAUGACCAAGAAAUCAGGAAGCAGGGGCUAUGCAUGAUGCAUUUUGCAUUCUGAUUGCAAGUCUAGGCUUAGUCCUUAGUGGCAACAAGUCCAAGCUUAUGAUAUGCUGCAACCACAUAGACGACCAAACCAUCCACAUUCAAAAUGAACCAAUUGAAGCUGUUGAUCAUUUCACCUACCUUGGCAGCAACAUUACGGGAAAUGGAGAUGUUUCUUCAGAAAUAAG